rnacentral:rRNA from 1 species
UACGGGGGGGGCAAGCGUUGUUCGGAAUUACUGGGCGUAAAGGGCUCGUAGGCGGCCAACUAAGUCAGACGUGAAAUCCCUCGGCUUAACCGGGGAACUGCAUCUGAUACUGGAUGGCUUGAGUUCGGGAGAGGGAUGCGGAAUUCCAGGUGUAGCGGUGAAAUGCGUAGAUAUGCGGAGGAACACCGAUGGCGAAGGCAAUCCCCUGGGCCUGCACUGACGCUCAUGCACGAAAGCGUGGGGAGCAAACAGG